GACGAACGCUGGCGGCGUGCUUAACACAUGCAAGUCGAACGAAGAGCGAUGGAAGCUUGCUUCUAUCAAUCUUAGUGGCGAACGGGUGAGUAACGCGUAAUCAACCUGCCCUUCAGAGGGGGACAACAGUUGGAAACGACUGCUAAUGCCGCAUACGAUCUGACCUCGGCAUCGAGGAUAGAUGAAAGGUGGCCUCUAUUUAUAAGCUAUCACUGAAGGAGGGGAUUGCGUCUGAUUAGCUAGUUGGAGGGGUAACGGCCCACCAAGGCGAUGAUCAGUAGCCGGUUUGAGGGGAGGAACGGCCCAAUUGGAACUGGAACCCGGCCCAGACUCCUACGGGAGGCAGGAGUGGGGAAUCUUCCGCAAUGGACGAAAGUCUGACGGAGCAACGCCGGGUGGGUGAUGACGGCCUUCGGGUUGUAAAGCUCUUUUAAUCGGGACGAAAGGCCUUUUUGGGAAAAGUUAAAAGGAUUGACGGAACCGGAAUAGAAAGCCACGGCUAACUACGU
rnacentral:rRNA from 1 species